AAAAAGAAUUUAUUCCCAGGAAAAAAUUAGAGGAAAAAAUCUUCCCAGGCAGAGUGCCAAAAAAAUUCCUUUCUUGGAAGAUAGGCCUAUAAAUUUUAAUAAAAAAAAUAUAUUUCCAGCCAUCAAGAGAGAAAAAAAAAUUUCUUCUAUAAGUGUACAAAAAAAAUAUUGCCUCUUAGAAAAUCCCCACCCCCCCCCGAUCACUUUUCUAAUGGUCCAUCCCUUAGUUAAUUAAAUUUGCUGUAUACAUUAUGUUGCAACGUAUCACUAUUUAAUAAACUUAUGUACAAUUACAAAUCAAGCCCACAAAUCGUUGAAUAUACUCUUACCGCUCGUUGCAAACCACGCAGGCGCCUAUUUAAAAAGCCCCAGCAACUUAACGCUCGAGAGAGCGUCUUGUUGAAUAGAAAUUUAUAUACAUUUAUUAAACCAGGAACAGAAGCGAAAAAUGCAACUUUAGAUCCCCUGGCAGCCCUAUAGUAACGGCCCUGCAAACGAUCUGUGAUAUAAAGAAGCUUCUGACCUAUAGUUAAAGGUUAACAAUGUGUUUUUUUUUUCUGUAGUUUUGAACAAUUUUGCAUCAACUAUUGCAACGAGAAACUCCAGCAACUGUUCAUUGAGCUGACAUUGAAAUCUGAACAAGAGGAAUAUAUGAGGGAAGGCAUUGAGGUUUGUGAUAAUUAAAAUGGAAACACUUAUUUAAUAAUGAUUUUACGUAGUUACAACAAGGCAACCAGCAUUCGCUAUACAAUAUGUAGGCAUCCAGGAUCUCUCUGCCCUUCAUUAAGCUUGAAGUCUGAGUGCCCUCUAGUUUAUAAACUGUUGCUCUCCGCUCUUCGUUUAGCUUGAAGCCGUUACUCAAUGCUGGUAUGAAUUUGACAUGAAUAUAACUUGUAUAGUUAAUAUUAUUUUCUAGUGGGAACCGGUUGAGUACUUCAAUAACAAGGUUAUUUGUGAUUUGAUUGAAGAAAAACACAAAGGAAUAAUUGCAGUUUUGG
rnacentral:lncRNA from 1 species